AAAAAAAGAAAAUCAUUGCUUAGCCAUGAAAUUAAGCCCUGGAAAACCAUAAAUUCAUUGGAAAUUGGAUGCAGGCAAUUACAAUAAAGUUUAGAUCCCUUUCCAAUUUAAUUUAAAAUUCUGUUUCAAGUAGAAAAAAACCCUGUAAAUGUUGGUAAUUGCGCUAGACACAAUAAUGGCCUAAAGAUGUUUAUGUCCUAAAAUCAGUGAGUAAGUUAUCUUUCAAGGCAAAAGGGGCUUUACUGAUGUGAUUAAAUAAGAGUCUUCAGGUGGGGAGGUUAGAGCGGGGUAGCCAGGUGGGCCCAAUACAUCACAAGUGUUCUUUUAGAAGUGGGGCAGGAAACCCAAAGUCAGUAGUGGAUGUGAAGGAGGUAGCGAGAGGCUGUGGUAAUGCCGGGAAGCAGCUAGGAGCUGAGGGAGGCAGAAGCUGAAAAGUCCAGGAAAGGAAUUUUCCUUCAGAGCUUCCAGAGGGAGCAGCCUGCCGACACCUUAACUUCAGCUCUGUGAGACUGUUUUCGGACUUCAGACCUUCAGAGCUCUUCUGCAGACUGCUCAUGUUCUUGUCUCGUGGCUCCCGUCCAUCUUCAAAGUCAGAAAUGCUGGAUUCAUGGUCAGUCCAAAGUCAAGCUCAGCACGGAGAGCCCGCCCCUCCCGUCAGGUCGGGCUGUGAGCUGCGCCAUUCCCCAACCAGCUGCAGCUCUGCCCCAGAGUUCCUUGGUCACCAGAAAGCACUGAGUUCUGAUUUAUGAGCUGAUAAACACGUGACUCUUGAAAGAAAUAAGUUCUGAUUUACGAGCUGAUGAACACGUGACUCUUGAAAGAAAUAAUGCCACUUUAGGUAGGUUUAUUCCUAUGUCUUUUAGGUAGGUUUAUUCUUUUUGUUGCAAUGGUAAGUGGGAUUGUCUCAUUUAUUUCCCUUUCUGAUCUUUCAUUGUUUGUGUAUAGGAAUGCUAGAGAUUUCUGUGUAUUAAUUUUGCAACUUUACUAAACUCAUUGAUUAGCUCUAGUUGUUUUCUGAUAGCGUCUUUAGGAUUCUGUGUGUAUAGUAUCAUUUCACUGGCAAACAGUAACAGUUUUCAUUAUUUUCCAGUUUGGACCUUUUUUUUCUUUUUCUUCUCUGAUUGCCAUGGCUAGGGCUUCCAAGACUAUGUUGAAUAAUUAGU